GAAAUGCGAUAAGUAAUGUGAAUUGCAGAAUUCAGUGAAUCAUCGAAUCUUUGAACGCACCUUGCGCUCCUUGGUAUUCCUUGGAGCAUGCCUGUUUGAGUAUCAUGAAAUCUUCAAAGUAAAUCUUUUGUUAACUCAAUUGGUUUCUACUUUGGUAUUGGAGGUCUUUGCAGCUUCACAUCUGCUCCUCUUUGUUCAUUAGCUGGAUCUCAGUGUUAUGCUUGGUUCCACUCGGCGUGAUAAGUUAUCUAUCGCUGAGGACACUGUAAAGGGUGGCCAAGGUAAAUGCAGAUGAACCGCUUCUAAUAGUCCAUUGACUUGGACAAUACUUUUAUGAUCUGAUCUCAAAUCAGGUAGGACUACCCGCUGAACUUAAGC
rnacentral:misc_RNA from 1 species